GAUGAACGCUGGCGGCGUGCUUAACACAUGCAAGUCGAACGGAAAGGCUCCUGCUUGCAGGGGUACUCGAGUGGCGAACGGGUGAGUAACACGUGGGUGAUCUGCCCUGCACUUCGGGAUAAGCCUGGGAAACUGGGUCUAAUCUCGGAUAGGACGAUGGCUUGGAUUCCAUUGUGGAAAGUUUUUUCGGUGUGGGGUGAGCUCGCGGCCUAUCCGCUUGUUGGUGGGGUAAUGGCCUAUCAAGGCGUCGACGGGUAGCCGGCCUGAGAGGGUGUACGGCCACAUUGGGACUGAGAUACGGCCCAGACGCCUACGGGAGGCAGCAGUGGGGAAUAUUGCACAAUGGGCGCAAGCCUGAUGCAGCGACGCCGCGUGGGGGAUGACGGCCUUCGGGUUGUAAACUCCUUUCGCUAGGGACGAAGCGCAAGUGACGGUACCUGGAGAAGAAGCACCGGCUAACUACGUG
rnacentral:rRNA from 1 species